rnacentral:sRNA from 12 species
UUACACCCAUGGCGGGCGAAGCAUAUACCCUAGAUGAUUUUGUGGGUAAUCAGUAUAUGUUCAGUCUGGUGAUAUAAGCACAGCUUUAUAUCUUCAAAGUUUUUU